UACGAAGGGGGCGAGCGUUGUUCGGAUUUACUGGGCGUAAAGGGCGCGUAGGCGGCCCUCCUAGUCGCGUGUGAAAGCCCCGGGCUCAACCUGGGAAUUGCGCGCGAAACGGGGGGGCUUGAGUUCGGGAGAGGAUGGCGGAAUUCCCAGUGUAGAGGUGAAAUUCGUAGAUAUUGGGAAGAACACCGGUGGCGAAGGCGGCCUUCUGGACAGUGACUGACGCUGAGACGCGAAAGCGUGGGGAGCAAACAGG
rnacentral:rRNA from 1 species